rnacentral:rRNA from 1 species
CAAGUCGAGCGGCAAGUCGAGGAGUAAUCUGAGACCUAGAGCGGCGCACGGGUGCGUAACGCGUAUGCAACCUACCUUAUACUGGGGGAUAGCCCGGAGAAAUCUGGAUUAAUACCCCAUGGUACAUAUUGAGGGCAUCUGAGAUAUGUUAAAGAUUUAUUGGUAUGAGAUGGGCAUGCGUCUGAUUAGCUAGUUGGCGGGGUAACGGCCCACCAAGGCGACGAUCAGUAGGGGUUCUGAGAGGAAGGUCCCCCACACUGGCACUGAGAUACGGGCCAGACUCCUACGGGAGGCAGCAGUAGGGAAUAUUGGGCAAUGGUCGGAAGACUGACCCAGCCAUGCCGCGUGCAGGAAGGCGGCCCUCUGGGUUGUAAACUGCUUUUAUCUGGGAAGAAAAAGGCCAUGCGUGGCAAAUUGCCGGUACCAGAUGAAUAAGCACCGGCUAACUCCGUGCCAGCAGCCGCGGUAAUACGGAGGGUGCAAGCGUUGUCCGGAUUUAUUGGGUUUAAAGGGUGCGUAGGCGGCUAUUUAAGUCAGCGGUGAAAGACUCCGGCUUAACCGGAGCAGUGCCAUUGAUACUGGAUAGCUUGAGUGUUGGAGGGGUACAUGGAAUUGAUGGUGUAGCGGUGAAAUGCAUAGAU